rnacentral:rRNA from 1 species
AGAGUUUGAUCAUGGCUCAGGACGAACGCUGGCGGCGUGCUUAACACAUGCAAGUCGAGCGGAAAGGCCCCUUCGGGGGUACUCGAGCGGCGAACGGGUGAGUAACACGUGGGUAAUCUGCCCGGGACACAGGAACAACCAGUGGAAACGCUGGCUAAUGCCUGAUGACGUGCCGGCCUUUCGGGGCUGUCACCAAAGGUAGCUUCGGCCUCCGGUCCCGGAUGAGCCCGCGGCCCAUUAGCUUGUUGGCGGGGUAACGGCCCACCAAGGCGUCGAUGGGUAGCUGGUCUGAGAGGAUGGUCAGCCACACGGGGACUGAGAUACGGCCCCGACUCCUACGGGAGGCAGCAGCUAAGAAUCUUGCGCAAUGGGCGAAAGCCUGACGCAGCAAUUCCGCGUGGGGGACGAAGGCCCUCGGGUCGUAAACCCCUUUUACGAGGGAGGAAGUUCUGACGGUACCUCGUGAAUAAGACACGGCUAACUACGUGCCAGCAGCCGCGGUAAUUC